GCGGGUUUCGUUCUCUGCGAACA
rnacentral:miRNA from 8 species